rnacentral:rRNA from 1 species
GACGAACGCUGGCGGCGUGCUUAACACAUGCAAGUCGAGCGAAAAACCUUCGGGUUUUUAGCGGCGGACGGGUGAGUAACACGUGGGUAACCUGCCUUAAUGAGGGGGAUAGCCUUCCGAAAGGAAGAUUAAUACCGCAUAACAUUGGGUUUUCGCAUGAAAGCUUAAUCAAAGAUUUAUCGCAUUAAGAUGGACCCGCGGCGCAUUAGCUAGUUGGAGAGGUAACGGCUCACCAAGGCGACGAUGCGUAGCCGACCUGAGAGGGUGAUCGGCCACAUUGGGACUGAGACACGGCCCAGACUCCUACGGGAGGCAGCAGUGGGGAAUAUUGCACAAUGGGGGAAACCCUGAUGCAGCAACGCCGCGUGAGUGAAGAAGGUCUUCGGACCGUAAAGCUCUGUCUUUGGGGACGAUAAUGACGGUACCCAAGGAGGAAGCCACGGCUAACUACGUGCCAGCCGCCGCGGUAAGAC